CGUCCCGUAUUUUUAUACAUUGGGACAACCCGGAUUAACUAUGAUAAAUUAAGGCCAAGACUAUUCCGGGAUUUGAAGUCGGGACUUUUGACCUUUGAUUUUAUUUUGAGACAUAAGUUGUGUAUGAAAUUGUUAGCUUGAACACUUAGGAAAAAUUGGGACCAUAAUUCAUAAAUUUGGAAAUUAAAACUCUUGCAUAAAAAAAAAAAAAAGGGAAGAUGUGUGGAUUGAAGUGGUCCCCACACAUUGUUGUGGCCAAUUUUAAUUGGUCCAACACAUGUGUGGGCCCAAAGACAAUAAGAGAUAUUUUAAGGGGACUUAAAAGAUGACCACUUAGUCAUCUUUCUCUCAUUUCACAUUCCCACACUUAGAAAAUAAAGCAAGAAGUUGAGGAACCAAAACCAUGGCUCACGGCCAAGACCAUGGAAAACCAAAUCCAAAUCAAGCCCCUCUAAAAAUAUUUCUUGGGUACAAAUCAACUAAUUAGAGGUCCCUAAGUAACUUGGAAGCAUUGUUGGAGUGAUCAAGUCUUUCAUUUAAGAGAUUUGCAAACCCUAGCCUAUUGGUGGAUUGAAGAAGAAAGGUACAGACGCACAGCCUGGUGAUCCACCUGUUUAGGACACCCUUUCUGCUAUUCGGAGUGCUCCUCUCUUUCCGGAGCUUAUACUUUUGUGAUGCCUCCGAAAAAGGCGACGGCCGCCCAGAAGAAAAAGGGCGUAGUAGGAGAGACCAGCCGGGCUCAGAAGGGUACUCGGACCCUUGCUCAGAUGAUGCGUGAUAUUACGUCCCGGCCAGCCGACUCUGCUACGUCUUCAUCGUCAGAGGAGUCUGGAGCAGCUUCACCAUUAGCUCCAGGGGCUUCAGCUCCCGCGCCUCCAGCUCCUCAGCCAGGGGCGGAGGACAGGACACUGAGAGAGGCUGUGCAGUUAUUGACCACUCUGGUAGCGGGACAGGCUCGCAGACGCGGGCGGAGAGAUGAUGAUGAUGACGAUAGGCGUGACAGCCUGAGGGUUCGAGAGUUUCUAUUAUGUGGCCCUCCAGAGUUUUACGGGUCUAAGCCCGACGAGGACCCCCAUGACUUUAUUCGGGGGAUGCGGCGCUCACUAGAUUUGGUCAGGGCUUCAGAGACUGAGUCUGUUGAGUUGGCUUCGCAUAGACUACGGGAUGUCGCUGCUCACUGGUAUGAGUCCUGGGAGCUAUCUAGGGGUGAGGGUGCUUCCCCAGCUACUUGGGACGAGUUCGUGGCUGCUUUU